rnacentral:rRNA from 1 species
AUUGAACGCUGGCGGCAGGCCUAACACAUGCAAGUCGAGCGGGGUUUUCGGACCUAGCGGCGGACGGGCGAGUAAUGCGUAGGAAGCUGCCCGAUAGAGGGGGAUACCAGAUGGAAACGACUGUUAAUACCGCAUAAUGUCUACGGACCAAAGUGUGGGACCUUCGGGCACCAUGCUAUCGGAUGCGCCUACGUGGGAUUAGCUAGUUGGUGAGGUAAUGGCUCACCAAGGCGACGAUCUCUAGCUGGUUUGAGAGGAUGAUCAGCCACACUGGAACUGAGACACGGUCCAGACUCCUACGGGAGGCAGCAGUGGGGAAUAUUGGACAAUGGGCGCAAGCCUGAUCCAGCCAUGCCGCGUGUGUGAAGAAGGCCUUCGGGUUGUAAAGCACUUUCAGCGAGGAGGAAGGGUGGUGUGUUAAUAGCACAUCAUUUUGACGUUACUCGCAGAAGAAGCACCGGCUAACUCUGUGCCAGCCGCCGCAGUAAUAC